CCUACGGGUGGCAGCAGUCGAGAAUCAUUCACAAUGGGGGAAACCCUGAUGGUGCGACGCCGCGUGGGGGAAUGAAGGUCUUCGGAUUGUAAACCCCUGUCAUGUGGGAGCAAAUUAAAAAGAUAGUACCACAAGAGGAAGAGACGGCUAACUCUGUGCCAGCAGCCGCGGUAAUACAGAGGUCUCAAGCGUUGUUCGGAAUCACGGGGCGUAAAGCGUGCGUAGGCUGUUUCGUAAGUCGUGUGUGAAGGGGGCGGGCUGAACCCGCGGACGGCACAUGAUACUGCGAGACUAGAGUAAUGGAGGGGGAACCGGAAUUCUCGGUGUAGCAGUGAAAUGCGUAGAUAUCGAGAGGAACACUCGUGGCGAAGGCGGGUUCCUGGACAUUAACUGACGCUGAGGCACGAAGGCCAGGGGAGCGAAAGGGAUUAGAUACCCUGGUAGUC
rnacentral:rRNA from 1 species